UACUACUCCCUCCGUCCCUAU
rnacentral:miRNA from 1 species